GUCUGCGUGGAGCCAACCUUGAAAUACCACCCUUUAAUGUUUGAUGUUCUAACGUGGACCCGUAAUCCGGGUUGCGGACAGUGUCUGGUGGGUAGUUUGACUGGGGCGGUCUCCUCCUAAAGAGUAACGGAGGAGCACGAAGGUUGGCUAAUCCUGGUCGGACAUCAGGAGGUUAGUGCAAUGGCAUAAGCCAGCUUGACUGCGAGCGUGACGGCGCGAGCAGGUGCGAAAGCAGGUCAUAGUGAUCCGGUGGUUCUGAAUGGAAGGGCCAUCGCUCAACGGAUAAAAGGUACUCCGGGGAUAACAGGCUGAUACCGCCCAAGAGUUCAUAUCGACGGCGGUGUUUGGCACCUCGAUGUCGGCUCAUCACAUCCUGGGGCUGAAGUAGGUCCCAAGGGUAUGGCUGUUCGCCAUUUAAAGUGGUACGCGAGCUGGGUUUAGAACGUCGUGAGACAGUUCGGUCCCUAUCUGCCGUGGGCGCUGGAGAACUGAGGGGGGCUGCUCCUAGUACGAGAGGACCGGAGUGGACGCAUCACUGGUGUUCGGGUUGUCAUGCCAAUGGCACUGCCCGGUAGCUAAAUGCGGAAGAGAUAAGUGCUGAAAGCAUCUAAGCACGAAACUUGCCCCGA
rnacentral:rRNA from 5 species